rnacentral:tRNA from 1 species
UCCCAGCUGGUUCAGCAGGAAAAAAAUCUGCCAGUGAAGCAGGAGAUACAGGUUCAAUCCCUGGGUUGGGAA